AUGGAUCCGCAACAACAGCAGCAGCAGCAGGUGGCGGCGAUCCUCGGGCCGGACGCGGCGCCCUUCGAAUCGCUCGUGUCGCAGCUGAUGUCGUCGUCGAACGAGCAGCGCUCCCACGCCGAGUCGCUCUUCAACCUCUGUCGUGACCUUCAUCCGGACGCCCUUGCUCACAAGCUGGCCUCCCUCCUCCACUCCUCCCCCGCCUUCGACCUCCGCGCCAUGUCAGCUCUCCUCCUACGCAAGCUCCUCACCUACCGCGUUGGUUCAUUCGCCUCCGACGCCGACCUUUCCUACCUCUGGCCCCGCCUCUCCCCCUCCUCCCAGGCCUCGCUCAAGUCUCUCCUCCUCUCUGCUCUUCACCUCGAGACGGACCGCUCCGUCUCCAGGAAGCUGUCCGACGCCAUCUCCGUUCUUGCUUCCUCCCUCCUACCCGACUCUGCCUGGCCCGAACUCCUUCCUUUCCUUUUCCAUGCCGUCUCGGCGCCCGAUUCCCCCCGCUUCCAUGAGUCCGCUCUCCUCAUCUUCUCCCAGCUUGCCUUCUACCUGGCCGACGAUACGUCCUUUGUCGGGCAUCAUUUGUCCGCCCUCCACUCCAUCCUUCUCGCUUCCCUCUCCCAUCCGUCCUCAAGCGACGUACGCAUCGCCGCGCUGUCGACGUCGGUCAACCUUAUAAUGGCGCUCGAAUCGGCUUCCGACCGUGAUCGACUGGCCGACCUCCUUUCUGCUAUGAUGCGGACGCUGACUGAGUCGCUCAAUUCUAGCCAGGAGGCCACAGCCCAGGAGGCGCUCGAGCUGCUCAUCGAGCUCGCCGGUGUUGAGCCACGCUUUAUCCGCCACCAGCUUGCUGAUGUGGUUGGUGCCAUGCUGCAGAUUGCGGAGGCUGAUGGACUUGAGGAGGGCACGCGCCACCUCGCAAUUGAGUUUCUUGUCACGCUUGCUGAGGCGAGGGAACGCGCUCCUGGGAUGAUGCGGAAACUUCCUCAGUUCGUGGGAAGGCUCUUUGCGGUCCUUAUGAGGAUGUUGCUUGAUAUCGAGGAUGAUCCUGCAUGGCACACUGCUGAGAUUAUUGAUGAAAAUGCAGGGGAGACUAGCAAUUAUGGCAUGGCCCAGGAGUGCCUCGACCGGAUUUCGGUUGCCAUGGGGGGAAACACCACUGUUCCCAUUGCAUCCGAGUUGCUUCCGGCUUACCUAGCAGCACCAGAGUGGCAGAGGCACCAUGCUGCUCUCAUCACUCUUGCCCAGAUUGCAGAAGGUUGCUCAAAGGUGAUGACUAAGAACCUGGAGCAAGUGGUGAAUAUGGCUCUGAAUUCAUUCCAACACCCACAUGCUCGUGUUCGUUGGGCUGCAAUUAAUGCUGUAGGGCAGCUGUCAACAGAUUUGGGUCCAGAUUUGCAGGUCCAGUAUCAUCAAAGGGUGCUUCCUGCAUUGGCAUCAGCUAUGGAUGAUUUCCAAAAUCCCCGUGUACUGGCCCAUGCUGGUUCAGCAGUUUUGAACUUUUGUGAAAACUGCACUCCAGAUAUUUUGCCACCUUACUUAGAUGGGAUCGUUGGCAAAUUACUUGUGUUGCUCCAGAAUGGAAAGCAGAUGGUGCAAGAAGGAGCUUUGACUGCUCUAGCCUCAGUAGCAGAUUUAUCACAGGAAAACUUCCAAAAGUACUAUGAUGCAGUUAUGACUUACCUCAAAGUUAUUUUGGUUAAUGCUACUGACAAGUCCAAUCGCAUGCUUCGUGCCAAAUCCAUGGAGUGCAUAAGUUUGGUUGGAAUGGCUGUCGGCAAGGAGAAGUUCAAGAAUGAUGCUAAACAGGUAAUGGAAGUGCUGAUGACCCUGCAAGGAUCACAGAUGGAGACCGAUGACCCAACAACAAUCUACAUGCUACAGGCAUGGGCCAGAUUUUGCAAGUGCUUAGGACAAGAUUUUCUCCCAUACAUGAGUGUUGUUAUGCCCCCGCUGCUUCAGUCUGCUCAGUUGAAACCAGAUGUAACAAUUACCUCUGUAGAUUCAGAUGAUGAUAUAGAAGAUUCAGAUGAUGAAAGCAUUGAAACCAUCACUAUUGGAGAUAAACGGAUAGGUAUCCGGACUAGCGUGUUGGAGGAGAAAGCCACUGCUUGUAACAUGCUUUGUUGCUAUGCUGAUGAGCUCAAGGAGGGAUUCUAUCCUUGGAUUGAUCAGGUUGCUCCUAUUUUGGUACCCCUUUUGAAAUUUUAUUUUCAUGAAGAAGUUCGGAGGGCUGCUGUGUCAGCCAUGCCAGAUUUACUUCGUUCAGCAAAGCUAGGCUAUUGAAAAGGGGGUAGCUCAAGGUCGGGAUAAAUCAUAUGUGAAGAAAUUAUCAGAUUAUAUAAUUCCAGCUUUGUUGGAAGCAUUGCAGAAGGAACCUGAAACCGAAAUAUGUGCAAGCAUGUUGGAUUCCUUGAAUGAGUGCAUGCAGCUUGCUGGAGCACAUCUUAUUGAAGGCCACGUCAAAAUGAUGGUUGAUCAAAUCAAGCAUGUAAUGACAGCUAGUGUAGCCAGGAAAAAGGAAAUGGCAGAGCGAGCAAAGGAGGAGGAUUUUGAUGAUGAGGACGGAGAAAUGCUUAAAGAAGAUACUGAAGAAGAAGAAGAAGUUUUUGAUAGGGUUGGUGAUUGCCUGAGCACCUUGAUAAAAUACUACAAGGCUUCAUUCCUUCCAUUUUUUGAUGAACUAUCAAUAUAUAUAACACCAAUGUUGGGAAAGGAUAAAACGGCUGGGGAGAGAAGGAUUGCCAUUUGCGUUUUUGAUGAUGUUGCAGAGCAUUGCCAAGGAACAGCUCUCAAAUACUAUGAAACCUAUCUUCCUUUCCUACUAGAAGCCUGCAAUGAUGAAGAUGCAGAUGUUAGACAGGCUGCUGUUUAUGGAGUUGGUGUUUGUUCUGAAUUUGGUGGUUCUGUAUUUGGCCCACUUGUUGGAGAGGCUCUCUCAAAGUUAAAUAAUGUGGUUAGACAUCCUGAUGCUCUGCAGUCAGAUAACAUAAUGGCAUAUGACAAUGCUGUUUCAGCUUUAGGCAAAAUAUGUCAAUUCCAUCGAGACAGUAUCGAUGCAGCUCAGGUUUUACCUGCUUGGUUAAGCUGCUUGCCCGUGAGAGGUGAUUUAAUUGAAGCCAAAAUUGUACAUGAUCAGCUUUGCUCCAUGCUUGAAAAGUCAGAUAGGGAACUUUUAGGCCCGAAUAAUCAGCAUCUUCCAAAAAUAAUUACAGUGUUGGCUGAGGUUUUAUGUGCAGGCAAUGAUCUUGCUACAGAACACACUGUUAUCAGAAUGAUCAAUCUUUUGAGGCAAUUGCAACAGACGAUUCCACCAUCCGUUCUUGCCUCAACUUGGUCUACUUUGCAGCCUCAGCAGCAGCUUGCACUGCAAUCCAUGUUGUCCUCAUAGUUUUACAUUUUCCUUUUUUUUUUCCAUCUGUUGGUGUCAUUCUGAAACCCCUCUGCUUUUGUGAUUGGUUUGUCUUCUAGAAAUAACUUUUAUUACCAUUAUUUUGUGUAUUUAUUUGAGUUGGGUAAUGAAUCAGUGUGUCGUCGAGUGAGGUUGUUUUCACCAAUAGGAAUUUGCAAUUUUGGUUCAAAGUGCAUAAAUUCAACAGUGAUGCAUAUUUGUCAUGUACA